ensembl:lncRNA
CUCUGGGGGACCCCAUAGGGCUGGGAUGGGGUGGGAGUUUGGGGUCGGCCCCAUACAACGUGGUUCAAUCCCGAUCCCAAUCGCUGCCUCGGUUUCCCCCACUUGUGGGACCCUUUGGGGCUCAGCUCUUCCGGUGGUCCCAACGCCCCACAGCCCCGCAGCCGGGGGUCCUUAAUGGGGCCAUCUGUGGGGUUGGACCCAACCCGAAUCUGGGCCAAAAAAUGGGAUUAGGGCCCCACGCUGCACCUCAGCAGUGGGAUUAGUGGGGCUGAGCUGCCAAAGCGGCACAGAGGUGGCCGAGGGGGUCCUGGGGGGGGGGGGGGACCCCAUCAGCACUUCGCUAUGGGUCGGUGGGAGGGCGGGCUGAGCCCCCCCGGGGUUUGGGGCCAUGUGAGGGUUGGCCAUUGGUUUGUAUGGGGGUUUGCUCCAUAUGGGGUUUUGCUCCACGUGGGGUUUCACCAUAGGUUUGCAAUGGGGUUUGGCCAUUGGUUUGCAAUGGGGUUUUGCUCUGUAUGGGGUUUUUCCAUCAUUUGGGGUUUUGUUCCACAUGGGGUUUGGCCAUAAGUUUGCAGUGGGGUUUUGUUAUUGGUUUGCAGUGGGGUUUUGCUCCAUGUGGGGUUUCACCAUUGGUUCUCGAUGGGGUUUUGCUCUGUAUGGGGUUUUUCCUUCUUUUGGGGUUUUGCUUCAUAUGAUGUUUUGUCAUUGGUUUGCAAUGGGGUUUGGCCAUUGGUUUGCAAUGGGGUUUUGCUCCAUGUGGGGUUUUUCCAUCAGUUGGGAUUUUGCUCCUCUAUGGGGUUUGGCCAUAAGUUUGCAGUGGGGUUUUGCCCCACGUGGGGCUCCACCAUUGGUCUGCAAUGGGGUUUGGCCAUUGGUUUCUAAUGGGGUUUUGCCUCAUAUGGUGUUUUGUCAUUGGUUUGCAAUGGGGUUUUGCCCCCAUUUGGGGUCUUUCCCCCACGUGCGCUUUGGCCACCGCUCUACAAUGGGGUUUUCCCAUCGGUUGGCAGUGGGGUUU